rnacentral:rRNA from 1 species
GACGAACGCUGGCGGCGUGCCUAAUACAUGCAAGUCGAACGCAGUGGGGACGGGUGAGUAACACGUGGGUAACCUCCCAUCAGAGGGGAUAACACUUGGAAACAGGUGCUAAACCGAUACUGAUUGAUGGACCCGCGGUGCAUUAGCGAGUUGGUGAGGUAACGGCUCACCAAGGCCACGAUGCCUAGCCGGCCUGAGAGGGUGAUCGGCCACACUGGGACUGAGACACGGCCCAGACUCCUACGGGAGGCAGCAGUAGGGAAUAUUGGGCAAUGGACGAAAGCCUGACCGAGCAACGCCGCGUGAGUGAAGAAGGUUUUCGGAUCGUAAAACACUGUUAUUAGAGAAGCGGUAUCUACACAGAAAGCAACGGCUAACUCCGUGCCAGCAGCCGCGGUAAUAC